rnacentral:tRNA from 1 species
AAGCCCCCCCAGGCUGCAGCUUCUAACUGUAGCAGAGUAUCUAAAAUACUGGGACUUU